UUUUUGAUAUUGAGGAUUUACAUAGCCGACCCCAACUAGCUUGGGAUUGAGGCAUAGUUGUCGUUAUUGUUAAUAGCAAUGUCAACGUAGCUUCACCUGUUGUUUUAUAAUCUUAAUUUUUCCUUGGCUAAAAUUAAGAUCUUUCAAACCCAAAUCUUCAUCUAUCUAAAGACAUUUUUGUCCAUCUCCACCUUACUCUAAAUAUGUUAUCCUUUCUGCUACUACCACUGAUUUUCAGCUUAUAGAGGAAAGACUUCUACAUUAGCCUUAUAUCCUUUUAUUAUUUUCAAUAUUUCCAUGAAUAAGCAAAAGAAUUAAGGAACAUAAUGAGAAAUUUUAAGUAAAGAGCAAGGACAUGGACUUGCAGCUCUUGAAAGGUUGAUUUCAUUACAUUCAUCCACUAAUCAAGAACAUAAAUAGUUAAAAUGCACUACAACCUCUUAUGCAUCACGCUCUAUCUAGGUCCAUUCAAUUCCAAGCAACUUCAAAUCUCAGCUAGAAUGAAGCAACAACAGAGUUCUGAACCUAAAUAAAGAGAGCAAGGUAAACCUUGUGUGUUAAGUUAGUGUUGCUUAACUCAAACACUCUUUUGCAAGUUGGUCCAAUAGCUUGCCUUUAUCAAAUGUGACUUCCUCUCUUUCCUCAAAAUUUAUUGUGUGAAUCAUUAUAUAUUUUGUUUACUCUCGAACUUUCUUCAUAUAUGAUGUGCCUAUAUUUACGUAACAACCAAGAAAUAAGAAAAAGAAUAUAAUAAAUACACAAAAUUGGAAGGUUUAAAACAUACCACCUGUAGCAGAAUCAACAUCCACAGCUUGUCUCUAACACGGUCAUCCUUGCCAACUUCUUCCUGUGCAGAAAUUGCCGGAAUGAUAUGUGAAAAUGUAGAAACACUAUGUAGAAUUGCAAAUAUUGCCAAAACACUAUGCAGAAAUGCAGAAAAAUUGUGUAGAAAUGAAAAAAAUAGCAAAAUGUUGAAAAAAUGCAAAAAAUACAGGAAAACCUGUACAGAAAUGCAAAAUAUAUAGUUUAGAAAUGCAAAAAUUUCUAAAAUGUAGAGAGAAAAUCAAGAAAUAAUAUGCAGAAAAUAUACUGUUCAAAAAAGCAGAAAUAAUGUGUAGAAAUGCCGAAAUACUAUGCAGAAAAUGUAAAAACACUAUGCAUAUUCACAAAAACAAUGAGCAGAAUCGCAGAAAUUGCCGGAACACUUCGCAAAAAUACAGAGAAUGCAGAAAAAUUGUGCAAAAAUGCAAUAACGCUGUGCAAAAUACAAAAACUACAAUUUAUGAGUUGACAUAUAGCAUAACAAUUAAAAGCAUAUAACGCAACUAGUUUUCAAGGAAGAAUAUCCCGAACUAACCUUCGCAAAGGAUAUAAAAUUGUAGGCCAGUUUGCAUGUUAUGAAAUCUUAGGUCACUUUGCACGUCAUAAAAUGUUAUGCCACUUCUCCGAACUAAGAUUAUUAUGCUAACACUUCUUUUUUUAAUUUCCUAAUUAACAACAACAACUACCCAGCAUAAUCCAACAAUGGGGGCUUAAUUUCAUAAUUGUAAAAAUAAUUUAAUCUUCAUAACAAAAGUUAAACCAGGAGCUGAAUUUAUUAGACUACCGGCGACCAACAGAACGUUAUGUGCUUCUUUGGAUCAUUAAAAACCUAAAAUAUGGCAGAGACUUGACUAAAUUAUGAUGAAUCAGAUUUUGCAACCCUACAACGCUGACCAAUGAUUGCUAAAAAGGCUAAACUGCCAGGCUAGAACUGUUAACUUACCUAUAAUAGCCAAGACACGAUUUAUAAAUAAAUGCUAGUGUAAGUACAUACCUGAAUCCGCUAUAAAAGAUAUUUUUUUUCCAAUAAAGAUGAUCUUAUCAAAAUGAGAUUUGAGCAUAUCCUCUUCCAUUGGCCCCUGCAAAUGCUAAAACAGCUGUCUAGCACUUCUCUGCAUGUGUUGAUUCAAACUGAUUUAGGAAAAGCUUUGAGCUCAAGGGAACAACAGAAAACCCCAUCCUAUGAUGCCAUUGAUGUGAAUUAAAAAAAUACCCAUGGAAUAAUCGGUUGAUUUAACACUUGAAAACCCUAAUACAAAGAACAAUCAAAGACACAAAGCCUAAUGAAGAGGACUUUUGGAAAAUCAAUCGAAGAUCACUAUCAACAAACAAUUCCAACAAACAAAUAGUACAAUUUUCAUAUUUUGGCAGUUUUGUUGAGUAUCAAUAACUCCAUUUAAUUUUCAAUAGAAACUAAUCAAAUAAGUUCUUAAUUAGGCUUAGACUUGAAGUCCAAUUCAAGAAAUAACGACACAUCAACAAAAUAUCCAGAAGAAUCAAAGGGGUUUAAGCAGUAGAUAAAUAUGUAAAGAAGUAAAAUAAUUUUAAUUAAGAAAUCAUACCUUUUGAAUGCUGAAAUUUCUCUUUCUUAGAUGUAGGUAUUGGAUCAAUGGAGAAGAAAAUUCCAGUCGGUGCUGGAUUUGGUAGCAGUGGAACCAGUGGCGUGGUGAUGGCCCAGAUGGAGAUUUAUGGGCCAAUACUAAAUAGAGGGGUAGAAUGAAAAUUUGAGAAAGUAUUAAUUUCUUUUGCCUUUGAAAGUAGGGAAAACUUUCACUCAAUCAAAUAAUGGAGGGAAUUUUUGGAUGAAUUUUUUAUUUUUAUUUUAGAGCACACUUGUUAA
rnacentral:lncRNA from 1 species